UAUCUGUUUUUAAUGGUAUGGACAUUUUUAAUGUACAGUCGCGGAGAAAAUUAAUUAGACCACCAAAAGCCAUCAAAACAAUGGUUAUGCAAUCAAGUACUAACCCCUAUGUGUUUCAUGUGACUAAAACAGACAGAAAAGAAACA